GAUGAACGCUGACAGAAUGCUUAACACAUGCAAGUCGAUGGGGAAGUGGUGCUUGCACCAUGGUAACCAUGGCGGACGGGUGAGUAACGCGUAAGGAACUUGCCUGCGGGACUGGGAUAACAGCAGGAAACUGCUGAUAAUACCGGAUAAGGUCAUUAAGCUGCAUAGCUUAGUGAUGAAAGGAGACGCCUGCGGAGAGCCUUGCGUCCUAUUAGCUAGUUGGUGGGGUAACGGCCCACCAAGGCGAAGAUAGGUAGCCGGCCUGAGAGGGUGGACGGCCACAAGGGGACUGAGAUACGGCCCUUACUCCUACGGGAGGCAGCAGUGGGGAAUAUUAGACAAUGGGGGCAACCCUGAUCCAGCAAUUCUGUGUGCACGAAGACGGUUUUCGGAUUGUAAAGUGCUUUCAGCAGGGAAGAAGGAAGUGACGGUACCUGCAGAAGAAGCGACGGCUAAAUACGUG
rnacentral:rRNA from 1 species